AGCAGUAGGGAAUAUUGGGCAAUGGGCGAAAGCCUGACCCAGCGACGCCGCGUGAGGGAUGAAGGUCUUCGGAUUGUAAACCUCUUUCAGUAGGGAAGAAGCGAAAGUGACGGUACCUAAAGAAGAAGCACCGGCUAACUAUGUGCCAGCAGCCGCGGUAAUACAUAGGGUGCAAGCGUUGUCCGGAAUUAUUGGGCGUAAAGAGCUCGUAGGUCGUUUGUCGCGUCGAUUGUGAGAAUCUGAGGCUCAACCUCAGACCUGCAGUCGAUACGGGCAAACUAGAGUGUGGUAGGGGAGACUGGAAUUCCUGGUGUAGCGGUGGAAUGCGCAGAUAUCAGGAGGAACACCAAUGGCGAAGGCAGGUCUCUGGGCCUUAACUGACACUGAGGAGCGAAAGUGCGGGGAGCGAACAGGAUUAGAUACCCUGGUAGUCCGCACCGUAAACGGUGGGCACUAGUUGUGGGAACCUUCCACGGUUUCCGCGACGCAGCAAACGCAUUAAGUGCCCCGCCUGGGGAGUACGAUCGCAAGAUUAAAACUCAAAUGAAUUGACGG
rnacentral:rRNA from 1 species